AGGAUAUGGUAUCAGACCAGCACAGACACCAAGCAGCGUGAAAGGCUCAAUCUCCAAAUGUGUUGUAUCCUUAUUAAUUGUAUGUUCAUACAGUGCAAUGUUGCAGUCAUUUUCUUCAUUCACAUCCAAAUAUUCAACAAGGCCUUCGUGCAAAAAGUCUUCAAAAUUCCUGUAACCCUGAGCCAGUUCUUCCAUGUGCUUGUUUGUUACUGCAGGUUUUUGCUUCUUUACAAUUAUAUAGGGUCUGCACAGUCUCCCUCCAUCAGAGGAAAUGUAGACACAUCUGUCAGAAAGAUUUGUAGAGAUGGAAACAAAUUCAUUGAUAUAACCUGCUCGUCGCAUUAUCCGAAAUGUGUUGACCAGUUUUUGAUGAUCACGUAUGACACCAAGGAUGUUACCAUUCAGGAAAACAAGGAACACAUUAGGAUAUGAAAGUUCUUCACCACAGAGCAAGUUCACAUCUUCGACUCCAAGAUUACUGGCUAGUUUAAUGAUUGGGCCAUCUUCCAUAUCUGUAGUAAUGUGAGUCAUCAGGGCAAGGUUUUUAACCAAACCACAAGCCUCUCCUUCAGGAGUGUCCGAUGGGCAGAGCAUCCCCCACUGAGAUGGCUGCAAUGAUCGAGGACCACUCACUUUCCUUGUCUUUUCAAACUGAGAAGAGAUUCUAGUCAUCAUUCCCAGAGCAGAUAUAUAAGACAAGCGGGACAAUACUUGAGUCACACCCUGGCGGUCCAUUUUGAAUCUCUUCAAAGACCAAUUUCC
rnacentral:lncRNA from 1 species